UGGCUUCAACAGAUUUGGAUUCACUUGCUUUGUUGGUGGUCUUGAUCAUGACACUAGUGAGGAUGAUCUAAAGAAGAUCUUUUCAAAGUUUGGCAACGUUAACAAUUCACAAGUUAUUUACCAUCAUGUGACUGGAAAAUCAAGAAGAUUCGGAUUUGUUACAUUCGAGGAGGAAGAGAUCCAUGAGAGAUGCCAUUAAAGAAAUGAACAGGAAGUUAACAUUCGGAUUUGUUAUGUUAAUAUUAUGUUUUGAUAUCAACUUUGCAUAUACUAUACAUGUAAUUUAUGAUAAGGAGACAGGAAGUUCUCGAGGAUUUGGUUUUGUUACUUUCAAAGACGAGAAAUCAUUGGAAGGUGCAAUACUGUUUAAGAACGGUGAUGAGAUCGACGGUUCUCAAAUCAACGUGGAAGAGUCUUGCACCAGAUGUGUUAUUGUACGUUCCUUCACUGUGAAAGUGGCACGGCCACGCAGACUAUCCAGAUCUGAUGAGUUUGUACAAGAGUUUGUAAGGAUGAUACAAGAAAAGGAGAAGAAGCAGAUGGCCGGAUUAAUAUGAGAGGAUGAUGAUAAAUGUUAUGUAGAAUCAUAUCUUUUUAAAGUUGGUUAUUUUGCUCCCAGACCUUCUUUACAACUCUGGAACAAAGAUUUCAUUUGCCAUCCUAUAGAAGAAUAUAAGCUAUGAUGAGCAUGAGCAUGAUCAUGUAAUGUUGUUGCAAUAUCUAUAAGAAAUUCACAGCAAAAGGAUAAGAGUCAA